rnacentral:lncRNA from 1 species
ACAAAAUGGAAGGCUGGAGUUAAAAAAAAGUACGAUUUAUUCAAGAAUAGAAACAGACCUCUCACAAGGCAAGAGGGGACCCGAUAGCAGGUUGUCCAUCUGAGGAUACUAGUCCAGGGGUUUAUAUAGCACUGGGGUCAAGGCUAUGGGUCCAAAUUUAUGCUAAUCAGGAUUGGAAAGGUACCAGUGCUACCAGUUAGCCUUGCAGUCCCGUUCAGGCCUGCUCCACUUCCAUUUCUCCCAGCUUGUUGGGAAGCGGGAGGCUGAGAUCGUCUCAUCAUGAAUGCUUGGUGUUGCAGGCUGCAGUGCUGUGUGGAGCAGGUGUCCACAACAGGCCCACACAGGAAUGCCUCAGCACAACAGGUUGGUGUACCCUGGCUUGCUGCAGCCCUGGCUAGCUGGGCCUCAGGCUCAUGUUGGCAUGGCGGGCUCUGCAUGGCCCCUGCACAUGUAGGCUUCACUACCUGUGCUUCAGCCCUCCCUAGCCACUGUUUUGCAGCUCCAUGGCUGCUUCACUGCAGCUUCUCAGCAGGAUCAGUGGGCUGGCUAUGUGGUUCAGUAGCUGGGAAAUCAUGUCACUGGAGAUCAAACCCAAUACCUUGCACGUGCUAGGCAAGUACUCUACCACUGAGCUACAUCUCCAGCACUCUCCUUAUUGUCUGCCUUUGUUGCUAUUGUUUGGCUUAUUGUUAAUUAUUUUGUUUUUAACCUGUUAAUAUUAAAGCUUUAUAGCCUUAAAAAAAAAAAGAAAAGAAGAAGAAGUAGAAAUAAGAAGCACUGGGAUGUAGCUCCAGGGUAAAGCAUACCUGGGUUCAAGCCUCAGUACCAAAAAAAAAAAAAAAAAAGAAAGAAAGAAAAAAAUCUCCCAAUAGCUUCCCCAUUAAGAGGAUAACUCCUCCUUUUGCUUUAUAGUCUGGCAUUCUGAAUUUGGGGGUUCUGCAUGUAAACAUUCAACCCACGACAAAUCAAAAAAGAUUUGUGGGAGGCUGAGGAUUGUAACUUUGAACCCAGCCUCUGGUGGUCAUUUUAUCCAGACCUUGCCUAAAACUAAGGAAUAAAAGGCAAGGGAUAUAGGGUUGAAGCUCAGUGGUAGAGUGCUUGCUUAGCAUGCAUGAAGCUCUGGGUUCAAUCCCCUGUAAAACACAGACACACACA